AGUUAACUGGAAGUUAACUGUUCAGCAAAAUGACCGCAGUAGGGAAAAAACUUCUCCAGUGCCUAUUAGUCUUGGUCUGGAGGGAUCUGAAGGAAUCCUUAAUGAUGUUCCCCGCCCUCUUCUUCAACCUGGAAGAGUACAGGUUCACAAUAGAGGGCAGGGAGGCUCCAAUGAUGCGCUCGGCAGUCCUCACUGUGCGCUGUAGUCUGGUUCUAUCCUGCUUGGUGGCGGCUCCAAACCACACAGUGAUGGAGGUGCACAGGACAGACUCAAUGACUGCAGUAUAGAACUGCAGCAGCAAUUCCUGAGGCAGACCAUAUUUCCUCAAGGGCCGCAGGAAGUACAUCCGCUGCUGGGCCUUCUUCAGGAUGGAGCUGAUGUUCUGCUCCCACUUCAGAUCCUGAGAGAUGGUGGUUCCCAGGAACCUGAAGUUCUCCACGGUGGACACAGGGCUGCUGAGGACUUUGAGGGGGGACAUAACGGGGGGAAUGUCUCCUGAAAUCCACUAUCAUUUCCUUUGUCUUGAGCGUGUUCAGCUCCAGAUUGUUCUGACUGCACCAGAGUGCCAGUUGGUCCACCUGCUGUCGAUAUGCAGACUCAUCACUGUUCUGGAUGAGUCCGAUGACGGUGGUGUCGUCUGCAAACUUCAAAAGCUUCACAUAGGGGUUGGAGGAGGUGCAGUCAUUGGUGUAGAGGGAGAACAGCAGUGGAGAGAGGACACACCCCUGGGGGGUGCCGGUGUUGGUGAUUCGAGUAUCCGAGGUGACCUGUCCCAUCCUUACCUGCUGACUUCUGUUGUUCAGGAAGCUGUAAAUCCAAUCGCAGAUGUCAGGUGGCACAGUGAGGUGAGACAAUUUGGAGCAGAGGGUAUCAGGGACGAUGGUCCUUCAUGUGCUUUGAAAAUACUUUAAGGAAUGUAAACAAGCACAAAAUGGUGGGCCAUUGGGAUGGGGUCCUUUGUAGUGAUAUUGCAAAGAAUUGGUAUUUGCAUCAAUUUAAUUUUUGACACCUCCCCUAUCUACCCCUGCCACAACUCCUUUCAUGCUGCUCAAUGCUUUUGCCUGUAGAUGGUGCUAUUACAACAUUUACUGCAGAAGAACUUGUUAAAUUUCUCUCCAGCAAAAUUACAUUUAUCAAGAUAAACGUAAAUGAUAAAAUGUAUGAUAAAUGUAAUUUUCUUGAGGACCAUUAAGAACCUUUCAAGAUCAAAUCCAUCCUUAAAAGAGAAAAACACUGCAAGGGCAUCAACAUUACAUAAUAAUCACGCAUUAUGUUAAUAAACAAAAAUAGGUGCAUUAAAUAUCAGCCAGUAAGUAUAAUGUUGUGGUUAAAAGUUGGUCUUUAUUCUAACUAGAUUGAAAAUUUAAAAUAAGGUUGAUGUUCCACCCUGCCAUUUACGCAGUCUGUUGGAUCACUCAUGAUUCAACACAGGCAAGUGUACAGGCAGUUGAUGUGGUGAAGUUUGGGCCCAAGGUGAAAUCACGUAGCAGAAGCAACAGGAGUGCCCAGUCCCUGCACUGGAGCUCAAUGUAUUAAAUUGUAACCUCAACGCCGAGCUGCCUAUGGUCUGCAAUUAAAAUUAAUUACCAUAGCCACUUGUUAUAGAAUGGAUAACUGUAUUUAGACAUUUAUUCCCACAUAGGAACAGCAUUAAAUAAAUACAUAACCAAUAAGCCCCAGGCUACUCUGCUUUGGGAAGUACUAAUUGUGACUUCAAUUGCAACUGGUUAUCUCACAGAGGCAAAUAAUGGAAAUAUGUAAUUAAUAAUUAACUAUUUUUAUUCAAAAAUAUAUAAUUAAUUCCAGCAUUGAAAAAUAAUAGCAGUUUCGUUUACAUGCCUGUUGUUGUAUUUCAGCAUUCUCAAAAGCAUUUUUUUUAGUGUAGUUGUUGUUUUUCUCUCUGCAGUGGAACCCAGAGUGCCCUGAUUAUUUGUGGUGCCCAGAAUUAUUGUGCAACAAAGCUUAGAAACAGCGCAUGCUGUAAGUGGCUCCGUGCCUAUGUGGGGUCCCUGAAUUUCUGUAUUUCAGACCAGUUGCCCUUUGGAGAUCUAUGUGUACUUUGGAUUGGAGAUCAGUCCGGCUGAUAAUUAAGAUUCCAUUUAUAAUUGCAUUAGAUGAAGAAGAGGGUAUUACCACCAACUCUCAUGCACAGUGUCUCCAUCUGCUGGGUUCCAGUGCUGCUUUAGUUCCUUGUGAUAUUUGGAUGCAUGGGAAGAUGAAUCUCUCUUGAGGAAAGUUCUUACCUAAGAUCGAGAUAUAUUCAGUCAAUGACCCCAAAGUAUGGAAAGCUUGUUGACAGCGAAACUGGAGUGAACACUUUGAAGAAGACUUCACCUGCUGCUCUGUUCUUCUCAACGUCCUGCGGCAGUGUAUCCUCUCCAACCUUGUUGCCACCCAUGACUGAAAAGACCAUUUACCAAUUCAAAACAAAGAUCCAGAGGUUGAAGGUCUCCCUGCUGACGUGCUAAUGUUUGCUAGUGAGGAGCUUCAGUCAUAAAUCCAUGACCUCUUUGUCUCCUGGGAUAUUAUUCUCUUCCCAAAAAAAUGGACAGCAGAGAUGCAAUAAUUUUCAAAGAAGGCAAAUCUGACUACAGAAUCAAGCACAGAGCAAGUCACCACCAGGGUUCUUCUAAACUGCCUGCUCCUAGUGGACAGUUAGCUGCCCUCAAAUUGCAGUGUGCAUUCCAUCUAUCGAGAAACACUGUGGGUAUGAAUAUCCCCAUAAGAUGUUUUCGAGAAAAGUUCUGGAUAGGCUUAGAACUUGUGAUUUCAGAAAAGCUUCUCAUAAACCUUGAGCAUGAAUUCUCUCUAUCUACAGAUUCUAGUUGUCUGUGAAGUCAGGGUUUUUCAGUGUUUUCUGUGCAGUUUCAGUACUCGUGUACUGGAACCUAUUUCCUGAUGUUUGCUUUGAAGUAAGAAAUCCAGGAAAGGCCAUAUUUACUGUUGUUCUUGGCCUGCUUAAUUUUAGAACAUUUAAGAGAGGGAGAAAGUGUCAAAUUAGUUUUGGUAAAUUGCUGCAACUCAUCCUUCAGGCUUGUAUGUAUUACUUACAUAAUGGUGCUGUGACGAAGCGGGUUAAUAUUGAAAUUUUCAUGCAACGGUUUAUUAACAAAGCCAAUGCAUGCGAUAAGUGAGAAAUAUCCAGUUAAACUUACAAUGAGCUAAUUUAAAUACUGAGGAAUCUUUGAAGAGUUGACAGGUUAGUAGUAGCAUUCACUUCAAGGUUGUACCUCUGGUCUUCUAGUGAUAAUGAUGUGUGGUCUAUUAACAUCUGCCCAGCAAUAAUCACCAGAAAUUUUGCUUUUGAUGUGGCAGAGAUUCUAGUGCCAUUGAAGAGUUUGGGAGAUGGUUAGACUUUAUCCUCUUUGAUACAGUUCUGAAUUUGCUAUCCAAAUCUAGUAUGCUGCUGAGACCAAGGUUGAAUGUUAUUCAGGACCUGCUUUGUUAUGAGAGGAUUUGCGCUUUGAGUUGAAUUGCUGGAUUAUCAGCAAAGAGUCCACUUACUGAUGUGGAAAUGAUGAUUCUGAGAAUGGACGGAGCAAGGUACUUUCCUGAGGCACUCCCGUGAUGAAUUGCAGCAAUAGGCUCCACUCUUCACACCUUGUUUUGUUUGUCAUCAGAACCUCAUUGUCUCGACUCUUUAUUCCUUUCCAUAGGUGAUGCCUGACCUGCUGAGCUCCUCCAGAUUUUGUGUGUUACUGUGGAUCUGCAGAAGCUCCUGUUUUAUAGCUAUUUGAUUUAUUAUUUCUUUUACUCAGGUCAUUGAAUCAGGAUAACUGUGGAGAAAAUGACUGGGAAUAGGAGGUAUAUCACAGUGCUGAGUGUUCAGGGGAACAAGCAGUGAAUUUAGAAAUCUGCUUCUCCAUAGCAAAACAUUCUGCACCACUUAAGAUUUGUAUUAAUGCACAUACACAGUAGAAGUCCUUUUUUAGUCGAAAGAUUUCUAUGCAAGGUCUGAAAGAAAAUAUUCAAUGAUCAAUCCAUCAUUAACUCUGAAACCAAUCACAGCCAUAAAAUGUCAACCACAUGAAUGGAGUGUGCAAGAUUUUUCAAACCACUUCAAUAAUUAAGUAAACACUCAGAGAUAUUUUGGAGUGCAGGUCCAUAAAUCAAACCUUUCUAGACACUUGGCUGAAAUAAUUUAUUUGUGGCUGCAGUGCGUUUCUGCAGUUUGUGUGGAGACAGAGCCCACAGUCUCCAUGCAGGAGCACACAGCAUACACAUUUAGUGCUUCUUGGAAACCUCAACAAAUUUAUCAUUAAAUUCCUGACAUCUGAUUAGAAUUUCAAGCAUAAUGUGCCAUUUUGAGGGGAAAAAUAUGGGCCUCCGGAGGAUCGCCUUGACCGCCAAGUAUCACGUGAAGAAAUCAUAUGCAGUGUUAGCUGAUGUUUGUUCGUACAAAUGGGAAGGAUUACCUAUUGGCAGUGCAACGUUUAAAAAUGCUUCUGCUAUCACUUUUCGUAAUAAGAGAGGCUGCCCCAAAGUAUGAUGAUCGUGCAUGGCUUCCGUUUUUUUCUUUAUUUCAAUUGAUGCCAAUAGUCAAAAUAAUUUUAUUAUCCUUAAAAUCCAAUGAUCUCUUAAGUUCCUCAUUGCAUUUUGAUUAACUAAUUAUUCUUUCUUUUCCAUGACUAAUUCUAUUUUAUUUAAAUUUUUUCUGUUUAGAAAGGUCACAUUGUGUUGUGACAUUUGAUAUCUUUUACUGUGAUAGUUUGUUGGAAGAAGAGACUUUAUUUUUUAAGAGAUCCAGUUCAAAACAGGUCCUGCUGCUGAGCAAUCCCCCGAUUUGAUCCUAGCCUAAUCACGAGACAAUUUAUAAUGACCAAUUAACCUACUGACUGGUAGGUCUUAGGACUGUGGGAGGAAACAGGAUCACCUUGGGGAAAUCCAUGCAGGCAUGAAGUCCUCACAGGCAGCUGUGGGUAUUGAACCCAGAUCACCUGUGUUGUAGAGCACUGUGCUAACCACUACACUACCAUGCUGCCCAUCUUGUCAAACAGGAUUGUUGUGAAGCAUUUAAAUAGAAUGAAACCAGCAUGAUUUGGUACUUUUAUAAUAAUGAUUUUUGUGAUCAUUUCAAAUCUAUCUUGUAUAUAGGCUAUUCCCAUAACAGCAUCCUAUGUGAUACAUUUGCCAUUUAUCAAACCAAAAAAUGCUCUAAUCAUGUGGUUUUAAGCUAGAAAUGAAACAUGAAUUUAAAAAUACUGCAUACCCACCUGAAAUGUUUAAUUUAAUGUUUUGCUCAUUCAAAUUUGUUGAGGUUUAAUAGUCAUUAAGCCAAGCAUGCAAUUUGGCUCUAUUGUUGAGGAAUAGAAACAUUUUCCCCAUGGUAUUUGUAUAAUUUACCGAUAAAUUGUUUCCUUUUGUACAGCAAUUGUCAGUUUUUUUUUCUGAUGGUGUGGAAAUUUUCUUUCAUCUAAUUUGCUGUUAGAGCCUGCAAAUUUAAUGAUUUCAGAUGCCAUGUGUGUGGUUUCAUAAGUCAUAUUUCACUGGAGAAAUAGUUUUAUGCACUGAAUGCAUGCUUAAUCCAGCAUAUGAAAUACUGGGUGGAGAAAAUCAAAAUUUGACUCCCACAGCCAAUUCUUUUUAAACAAAAUGUACUAUGUUGGACGCUGUUGACAAGAAAAUUAGGUAAU